CCGGGCUCUGCGGUGCGCGCCAGGCACCGGCCUCUUCGUCUCGUGGAGGCGGCGGCGCAGCCGCGGCUACUUUGUAGCGGGCGGGGGUUCGGGCCCCGCCUUGUCUGCGGGGGCGAGAGCGGGUCCCAGAGCGACCUUGGGCCCGGGGGUUUGUCUCCGACGCCCGCGGAUGCAGCGGUCUGAGCUCUAAGCGCAGGUUGAAAACUACAGGUACAAGCCGUUGUUGCUGGAAUGCUGUGAUGCUGGUAUUUUAACGGACUCCAAACCAACUUUCAGGCUAAGUGCGCUUAACCAGGUCAGACAUGGUUAUGUAAGUUGUAGCAGCCACGUGUCCACACGCAGUAGCUGGUGGUGAAAGAGCAGUGCAGCGGGCA